rnacentral:rRNA from 1 species
UACGGAGGGGCUAGCGUUGUUCGGAAUUACUGGGCGUAAAGCGUACGUAGGCGGCUUUGUAAGUUAGAGGUGAAAGCCCGGAGCUUAACUCCGGAACUGCCUUUAAGACUGGCAUCGCUAGAAUUGUGGAGAGGUGAGUGGAAUUCCGAGUGUAGAGGUGAAAUUCGUAGAUAUUCGGAAGAACACCAGUGGCGAAGGCGACUCACUGGACACAGUAGUUGACGCUGAGGUGGCGAAAGCGUGGGGAGCAAACAGG